rnacentral:sRNA from 1 species
AGCUUUAUUUUUAGGUCUUCUACUUUUGCCCUACAAUUCAAGGAGAUUUUUGGAGAGUUCUUGAGAGAUUUCAAAACCUUGUAGAGAAAAGAUCUUUUCCUAAACUCUAUUCUUCUUUUGAUUUCUUAUAUGCAAUCUUAUACAAACAU